UUUACGUACUACAGUUUAGCUCAUACUUCAGAAAAAUUCUGGCAUUUUUCUAGAAUUCUUUCUAUUUAUAUUAAAUAUGAUGUUUUAUUUUAUACUUUCAUUCGUGUAAUCGACUAGUACGCGUGUAAUCGCGUUUUCCUCUAAAUAACAGUUGAACUGUUGUAAAGAUGGAAUUGGAAAUUCCUGACACGAUUCCUGUCUUUAGUCUAACCUAUAAGCGGUUUACGUAUUGCGGUCGACCGAGGAAGACGGUGUGACAGUUUCGUUGACUCCUUUGAAAGCUGUCUCAGAACUAUCCAAUAUCUUGCCAAGACUGGUUUCCAUUGUCGUACAUGAUUUGUCGGGUACACUCAAAGUCCUUUGGGAAAUCAGAAAUUUGUAUUCUUGCCGCCUACGUACGUAUGUCGAUCGCACUAUUGAAGUUAUACGGGAAAUGAAGAGAAAUGGAUAAGACUUCUUACGAAGUGACUAUGGAUAUAAAUAUGUAGGUACACAUGAGUUUUACCAUACAUAUAUGAUCAGGUUGUGAGAUUAACUAGGAGGGUUCAUUUUCUCAUGGAUCAACAAUAUAAAAGAGCCGUCUGAACGUUAAACUGAUGUCGUGACCCCGGCUGUAUACAUAUCGCUAGGAACUCUUGGGAAAUUGAGAAGUACUAAAAAUAAAGGAAUCCUAUUCAACACAGGCAUAACUAUGAAUAACAUACGUAACACGCGUGUGCCUGCCGAUCCUGAUAAGUUCAAUUCAAAAUAAGCCAGGAAACGGAAAUGGAUGAUAAGUCUAUUUUAUGAAGCCCUAGGGAUGCAAUUACACUUGCAGAUGCUCGAGACCUUUGGUUUCGGCCAACAGAUCAAUCUUCCAUACUAUUAGUAAGAGUCCAGCAUGUAUUCCAGACCGCAAGGAACACGAGCAAGUAAAUAGACACCGUAACGAUGCAAACAAGAUCGAGUGCAAAGAUAAUAAUUCAAACGUUAAUUGCCACGCUAAAUUGGUCUUACUUCGACGAUCUAUCAAACGAGUCUGAUUCAGAUCGGCACAGUGAAGACGGGCUUGGUUACCUCUACUAGCAAAUUUCCAAUCCUCUGCAUACGGACACGUGUGCAUACGUUCGUGUUGUACAAAAUUUCCUAGAAUUUAUUAUCAACUAUGUUAGUACGUACCAAAUAUGCAACGCGUUGCAUUUCCUGUAAAUACCAGUAAAAUUUAUAGUCAGCUACUUUAACCAUGUAUUAUAGGUAACGGCCAUGAAGUUCAUGUUUAAAUUUCGAUCCAGAAUUAGAUCAAACUGUUAUACAUACAUCGUACCCAUGUAAAGUUUAUUGUGUGUGCAGGACUAGGUAAAAUUUCUGUAGAAACUGUAAUAGCCUGAUGCAAUCUCUCUCUUUUUACAUUAUACGUAUAUGUAUAUGGAUAUCUACCUAUAGGGAACUUUUAUGCACGUGGCGUAUCACGUUUAAGAAACAGCGUUGCAGUCAGCGACAUUUAAGCACACAUUAUAGUGUUUGUUCUGUAGCUAAGCUGUAUAGCAAACCGCAGGACGUGGCAAACGAUCGACUCAAUUGAUUUUAUAUGUAAUAACCGCGGCGUGAGUACCUGUCUACUGCUGUAAGAGUGACGUUAAUCAUGAGAAUGUAGAAAAGUACUUAAUUCUGAUUAAACGUGCUAAAGAAGACAAGCUACAUGACAGUUCCAAUUCUCCAUAAAACAAGAUAGUACUUUUGGUUAAUGGUAUAUGUUAUAGACCCAAUAAUGUACUGCGUGUUAGAUUAUGUUCUUACCAAGAACACACGAAAUACCUAUCCCGGACAAAAUCAAUAAAUACGAGGUAUAUUAGCUUUGAGAAAAACUAUGUUUAAGUUAUUCGAUACUAGCUUAUGGUUUAAGACAGUUCGUAUAGGAGGCAU